UGCAGAAGAGAAAUAAUAUCCCCUACUCCUACCUAGACAUAACUUUUACUUACUCAAAUAACAAUUAAGGUAAAGCAGGUUUAGGAACGACAAAUCUCUUUAUGAUUAACAGGUCCAUUUUGGAAGUUCAUUAUUACGGAUAAUUACUAUAAAGGAUCGGACUAAUUACAUAUACAAUACUUGAAUUCUUGAUGUAGAUGCUAUAUAGUUGGUUCUCAUCCUUCAUAGAUUAAGAGUGCAAUAGGAGCAUCUGUUGACAAAAGGAUUAUCCUAAGAUGAUCAUUUCAUGGCUAUUGAGAACUAAUUAACUCAGAUUGUUCUAUUUCUAUAUCUUUUUGACUUGCUCUUAUAGAACUAAGGUCGAAAAGAUUGAAAAAAAAAAUUAGCAUUUACAACUACUGAUGAAGGAUUCCUCAAAAAGUUAAGGAUUAGACUCUUUUUUAUAAAUUGAAUGAAUUUGGUGUUAUACAUACACAAGGAAGGUAAUCAA
rnacentral:lncRNA from 1 species